rnacentral:rRNA from 1 species
GAACCUAGCGGUACUCCGAAUGCAUCCAGAUUAUUAAUUUGAUCAUGGCUCAGGACGACCGCUGGCUUNCGUGCUUAACACAUGCAAGUCGAGCGGAGAAUAUAGCAAUAUAUUCUUAGCGACGGACGGGUGAGUAACGCGUGGGCAACUUGCCUCAUACAGGGGGAUAACACUGGGAAACUAGUGCUAAUACCGCAUAAAAUAGUGAAGUGGCAUCACUUUACUAUCAAAGGAGCAAUCCGGUGUGAGAUGGGCCCGCGUCCGAUUAGCUAGCUUGGAGCGGGUAACGGCCCACCAAGGCGACGAUCGGUAGCCGAACUGACGAGGUUGAUCGGCCACAUUGGGACUGAGACACGGCCCAGACUCCUACGGGAGGCAGCAGUGGGGAAUAUUGCGCAACUGGGGGAAACCCUGACGCAGCAACGCCGCCGUGAACGGAUGAACGUUUUCGCGAUUGUAAACUUCUUUUGAUUGGGGACGAUAAUGACGCGUACCCAAAAAACCAAGCCACGGCUAACUACGUGACAAACAGCCGCG